AUGGUGUCCUAUGGGGAGAUCUACCACUGCGGGGGGGCAGGGCUCGGGCUGGCCGCGGGCUCCCUGCUGUGGGGCAGCCGUUACGCUCUGGACCCCGAGCUCCGUGGGGCGGAGUUUGAGCGUCUGACGCAGCGACUGGACGUGGGGUUUUGGAAAAGCUUCUGGAACCUGACGGAGAGUCAGCUGCUGGCUUCAGUAGCAGCGGCCGCGUCCCCCCGAUGGGGCUGUUAGGCGUCCUGGCGCUGCC